rnacentral:lncRNA from 1 species
UCCAUCUGAUGUAGAACCUGAAUAAUUUUAGCUGAGAGAGCCAUUCUAUUCCUUGUUUCUCAGUUACUGCUCUCAUGACUGCAUGCAGAAAGUGAUUUGAGGACCGAGAAGCUCUCCCAAACUGCUCUCAAAGUUGCUGACCUGGAAGAGUGACAGCUCCUUAUUUCAAGCCUUAAGGUGUUCUCUCUGAACCCUCAGCCGCAGUGGCUUUCUGCCAGGGAGAGAGAGAGGACAGAACACAGGAGGCCCUGAGUA